rnacentral:misc_RNA from 1 species
AGCAGCCGCGGUAAUUCCAGCUCCAAUAGCGUAUAUUAAAGUUGUUGCAGUUAAAAAGCUCGUAGUUGAAUUUCGGGAUCAGUUGGUCGGUCGUGCCUCGGUACGUACUGGUCAAAUUGAUUCCUACCUUCUGACGAACCACGAUGUCAUUAAUUUGGUGUCGCGGGAAAUCAGGACUGUUACUUUGAAAAAUUGAGUGUUUAAAGCAGGCUCGCGCUUGAAUACAUUAGCAUGGAAUAAUGAAAUAGGACGUUUGAUUCUAUUUUGUUGGUUUCUAGGAUCGACGUAAUGAUUAAUAGGGAUAGUUGGGGGCAUUAGUAUUCAAUUGUCAGAGGUGAAAUUCUUGGAUUUAUUGAAGACUAACUACUGCGAAAGCAUUUGCCAAGGAUGUUUUCAUUAAUCAAGAACGAAAGUUAGGGGAUCGAAGACGAUCAGAUACCGUCGUAGUCUUAACCAUAAACUAUGCCGACUAGGGAUCGGAUGAUGUUAAUUUUUAAUGACUCAUUCGGCGCCUUACGGG